AUUGCAGGCUGAAGAGGACUGGCCUUUCAGUGGCCCUCGUGGAACGGUAGGAAGCUGAGCUGGACUCUCUGCCACAUCGUUCGGUUCCCACAACAGCCUGAAAUGGGGUCUUGCCUUGUUGCCCAGGCUGGAGUGCAGCAACGUGAUCAUAGUUUACUGUAGCCUGGGCUCAACUCCUGGGCUCCAGUGAUCCUCCCGCCUCAGCCUCACAAGUAGCUGGGACCAUAGAUGAAGCAGCAGCAGAAAAAAUGGAAGCCAUUUUGGUUAACGGGUCACAUCUUAGCAGUUGGCAGCGUAAGAAGCGGAAGGAUCCACUGGUCAGAAAUGGAGAUUGAGGAGAAGCUGAGAGCACGGAGGGCUUCAGGGGAGAGCCUGUCCUUUGGAAAAGCGGGCAAUUUGCACUCGUGGUAGAUGAGUGGGGAGGCCGCUCAGUCUCUCUGCCCCUUUGCACAUGCUGCACCCGUUUAGUUUGACGUCGUGGAGAGCUCCUCCAGGCACGGGCUGUGUGAAAGGGUUUAAAAGUUUGGGGGCAUGGCUGGGGGUCCCCGCAUGAGGGGUGCUGUGUAGGCUCC
rnacentral:lncRNA from 10 species